rnacentral:rRNA from 1 species
UACGUAGGGGGCAAGCGUUGUCCGGAAUCAUUGGGCGUAAAGCGCGUGUAGGCGGUUCGGUAAGUCUGCUGUGAAAGUCCAGGGCUCAACCCUGGGAUGCCGGUGGAUACUGUCGGACUAGAGUACGGAAGAGGCGAGUGGAAUUCCCGGUGUAGCGGUGAAAUGCGCAGAUAUCAGGAGGAACACCGAUUGCGAAGGCAGCUCGCUGGGACGUAACUGACGCUGAGACGCGAAAGCGUGGGGAGCAAACAGG